UACGUAGGGGGCAAGCGUUGUCCGGAUUCAUUGGGCGUAAAGAGCGUGUAGGCGCCAGGUAGGUCGGUUGUGAAACUGGAGGCUCAACCUUCAGAGGUCGACCCGAAACCUCUGGCUAGGAGGUCCGGGAGAUGGAGAGUGGAAUUCCUGGUGUGAGCGGUGAAAUACGCGAGACGUAUCAGGAAGAACACCCGUGGCGAAAGCGGCUCUCUG
rnacentral:rRNA from 1 species